rnacentral:rRNA from 1 species
CCUACGGGAGGCAGCAGUGAGGAAUAUUGGACAAUGGACGAAAGUCUGAUCCAGCUAUGCCGCGCGCAGGAUGACGGCCCUAUGGGUUGUAAACUGCUUUUAUACAGGAAGAAAAACUCCGACGUGUCGGAACUUGACGGUACUGUAAGAAUAAGGAUCGGCUAACUCCGUGCCAGCAGCCGCGGUAAUACGGAGGAUCCAAGCGUUAUCCGGAAUCAUUGGGUUUAAAGGGUCCGUAGGCGGUUUUUUAAGUCAGAGGUGAAAUCCUGCAGCUCAACUGUAGAAUUGCCUUUGAUACUGAAAGACUUGAGUUAUUGUGAAGUGGUUAGAAUGUGUGGUGUAGCGGUGAAAUGCAUAGAUAUCACACAGAAUACCAAUUGCGAAGGCAGAUCACUAACAAUAAACUGACGCUCAGGGACGAAAGCGUGGGUAGCGAACAGGAUUAGAUACCCUGGUAGUCCACGCCGUAAACGAUGGAUACUAGCUGUAUGUCUACUUCAGGUAGAUGUGUGGCUAAGCGAAAGUGAUAAGUAUCCCACCUGGGGAGUACGAUCGCAAGAUUGAAACUCAAAGGAAUUGACGG